rnacentral:rRNA from 1 species
GUAGGCUGCAACUCGCCUACAUGAAGUCGGAAUCGCUAGUAAUCGCGGAUCAGCAUGCCGCGGUGAAUACGUUCCCGGGCCUUGUACACACCGCCCGUCACACCAUGAGAGUCGGGAACACCCGAAGUCCGUAGCCUAACCGCAAGGGGGCGCGGCCGAAGGUGGGUUCGAUAAUUGGGUGAAGUCGUAACAAGGUAAC